rnacentral:rRNA from 1 species
AACGAACGCUGGCGGCGUGCUUAACACAUGCAAGUCGAGCGAGAAAGGGGGGGCAACCCCCUGAGUAGAGCGGCGCACGGGUGAGUAACGCGUGGGUAACCUACCCCCAGGCGGGGGAUAACCACUCGAAAGGGUGGCUAAUACCGCAUGAGACCACGGGAUCUUCGGAUCUUGAGGCUAAAGAUUGCACCGGCUUGCCGGUGCCGUCACCAGGGGAUGGGCCCGCGUCCGAUUAGCUAGUUGGCGAGGUAAUGGCUCACCAAGGCUACGAUCGGUAGCUGGUCUGAGAGGAUGAUCAGCCACACUGGAACUGAAACAUGGUCCAGACUCCUACGGGAGGCAGCAGUGAGGAAUAUUGCGCAAUGGGGGAAACCCUGACGCAGCAACGCCGCGUGGGUGAAGAAGGCCUUCGGGUCGUAAAGCCCUUUCGGACGGGACGAACGCUUUGCGGUGAAAGCCGCGAAGUCUG